rnacentral:rRNA from 1 species
CCUACGGGCGGCAGCAGUGAGGAAUAUUGGUCAAUGGGCGCGAGCCUGAACCAGCCAAGUAGCGUGAAGGAUGACUGCCCUACGGGUUGUAAACUUCUUUUAUAAAGGAAUAAAGUGAGGCACGUGUGCCUUUUUGUAUGUACUUUAUGAAUAAGGAUCGGCUAACUCCGUGCUAGCAGCCGCGGUAAUACGGAGGAUCCGAGCGUUAUCCGGAUUUAUUGGGUUUAAGGGGAGCGUAGAUGGGUUGUUAAGCAGGUUGUGAAAGUUUGGGGCUCAACCGUAAAAUUGCAAUUGAUACUGGCCGUGUGGAGUACAGUAGAGGUAGGCGGAAUGCGUAGGGUAGCGGU